rnacentral:rRNA from 1 species
CCUACGGGUGGCAGCAGUGGGGAAUAUUGGACAAUGGGGGCAACCCUGAUCCAGCCAUGCCGCGUGUGUGAAGAAGGCCCUCGGGUUGUAAAGCACUUUCAGUGAGGAAGAACGCCUGGUGGUUAAUACCCAUCAGGAAAGACAUCACUCACAGAAGAAGCACCGGCUAACUCCGUGCCAGCAGCCGCGGUAAUACGGAGGGUGCGAGCGUUAAUCGGAAUUACUGGGCGUAAAGCGCGCGUAGGUGGCUUGAUAAGCCGGUUGUGAAAGCCCCGGGCUCAACCUGGGAACGGCAUCCGGAACUGUCAAGCUAGAGUGCAGGAGAGGAAGGUAGAGUUCCCGGUGGAGCGGUGAAAUGCGUAGAGAUCGGGAGGAAUACCAGUGGCGAAGGCGGCCUUCUGGACUGACACUGACACUGAGGUGCGAAAGCGUGGGUAGCAAACAGGAUUCGAUACCCUUGUAGUC